CUGUUCUGUGAGAAUUCCCAGGAAGUGGAAUGCUAAUGACAUCACAAUAAUGUGCCUACACCAGAGUAUGGAAUUAGCCUACAAAGGUUCAGGCAAAAAAAGUGUUUUGCACUCUAAUGCAGAACAAACAACUAAUGCUUUAGUUUCUCCCCACUGUUCUGCUAAAGCAUUUCUCAAAAGAAGACAUCUGAAACUAGAAAUUGCAAAUUUGACUUGUUUUAUAUGGUCAUUGAGAAAGAAAGGAUCCCAGUUUGAAGAAAAAGUUCUCUCCCUUUGCUAUGUGGCUUCUAGAGGAGGAAAACAGUAAACAAUGCAACAUCAAAACAGAACUCUUCAGCCUCAAGAAAAGGUUGUUGUACCAGCCCCUUGUCUCCCAGCUACCAUAAACAACGUACAACAGUCAUCACCCCUGUUUAUCAACUCAGCCCUAACUUCAGAGCUGUGACCGGCACUUGCAUAACAAAAUGCCUGCUUCUCAAGGAAGUUAUUAACAGAGAUUUUAGACAAGGUUUUGUUUUUUUUUUCCUAAUUUCUAAGGCUUUGUCCACAAUGGAAAUCUGC